rnacentral:rRNA from 1 species
AUUGAACGCUGGCGGCAUGCCUUACACAUGCAAGUCGAACGGCAGCACGGGAGCAAUCCUGGUGGCGAGUGGCGAACGGGUGAGUAAAGUAUCGGAACGUGCCCAGUCGUGGGGGAUAACGUAGCGAAAGUUACGCUAAUACCGCAUACGAUCUAUGGAUGAAAGCGGGGGAUCGCAAGACAUCGCGCGAUUGGAGCGGCCGAUAUCAGAUUAGGUAGUUGGGGGGGUAAAGGCUCACCAAGCCGACGAUCUGUAGCUGAUCUGAGAGGACGACCAGCCACACUGGGACUGAGACACGGCCCAGACUCCUACGGGAGGCAGCAGUGGGGAAUUUUGGACAAUGGGCGCAAGCCUGAUCCAGCCAUGCCGCGUGCAGGAUGAAGGCCUUCGGGUUGUAAACUGCUUUUGUACGGAACGAAAAGGUUUGACUUAAUACGUUGGACUCAUGACGGUACCGUAAGAAUAAGCACCGGCUAACUACGUGCCAGCAGCCGCCGUAA